AGCCAGAUGGACUCUGUGUCCCCAGUCCCUGAGUUAGCUGACCGCCAGGGCAGGGAGGCCAUGUUGCUCCACACUUUUUUGAAGAAGGCCUUACCUUGAUUCCAUAUGUUUCAGAAUUAGCUGUGUCAUCUACAAGAGAAGGCCAAAGGUACACAUUUUACAAAUGAAGGAAGAGGCAACCCCAUGGACUGAAAUGUUCUCUGAAGUAGAAUUGACCGCAAUCAGGCCUGGCAGGCCUGGAGCAGAUCCUGACUGCAGCAGAUGAAAAACAGAACAAGACAAUUACAAGACCACGACAUGGCCUCUCAACUAAGUGUGGUUCGAUUUCAAAGAAUCCUGCUUCUACAGUGGAUGGGCACAAUUCUCCUGAGUUGCCAAAUUUCAAGUUACUACAUGUUAAUGCAUUUCGCACAUAUAUUGAUCACAUACCUUGACUACGGAGGUGAUGUUACAAUGGAUGAGGCUCUGUAAUAAAUAAUCACAACCACACAUCAGCCGGAUGAUUAGAGAAAUUCUCCUGGAAAGUAGUUGGUGCUAAAGAACCAUGAAGUGGGCAAAAGUGCAUGUCUGAACGGUUUCAUCACUCACCCUGCAAAUUAGGCUCAUAACUGCCUUCCAGCAAGCAUGUACUAGCAUCAAGAAACAUCUGACUCCCAUUCUGUCAUUCUGUACCCACGUCAUCUUGACUAGACAUCAAUUAAGAGUUUCCUGGAAAACUCGGAACUAUAUUCCUGGAGGAAUAUAAAUACGGUUUUUCAAAGGGAGCUACUCCAUUCUCAGCUGGAGGAAGAGGGGUUAGCCUAUGUGAGUCCAGGAGAACAGAAAGACAAAUGGUUGUAUAAUAUAAGGUAGAGGUUCUGGGCUAUGGAGGGCAGGUAAAGAAACCACUAGAAUGACCAAAGAUAAAGAGAAAGGACAAGAGGACGGACACAGACACUAGCACAAACACAGACACACACAGGCAGAGGAGCAACCCUGGAACUUGCUUCUUGAAGAGACGUAGAUUUGUGCCAGAAACAGAGUGUGGGAGACAGAGCCCACACAGGAGAUGUGUGGUCCAGAGAGGAGUUCA
rnacentral:lncRNA from 1 species